AUUGAACGCUGGCGGCAUGCCUUACACAUGCAAGUCGAACGGCAGCACGGGUGCUUGCACCUGGUGGCGAGUGGCGAACGGGUGAGUAAUACAUCGGAACAUGUCCUGUAGUGGGGGAUAGCCCGGCGAAAGCCGGAUUAAUACCGCAUACGAUCUACGGAUGAAAGCGGGGGACCUUCGGGCCUCGCGCUAUAGGGUUGGCCGAUGGCUGAUUAGCUAGUUGGUGGGGUAAAGGCCUACCAAGGCGACGAUCAGUAGCUGGUCUGAGAGGACGACCAGCCACACUGGGACUGAGACACGGCCCAGACUCCUACGGGAGGCAGCAGUGGGGAAUUUUGGACAAUGGGCGAAAGCCUGAUCCAGCAAUGCCGCGUGUGUGAAGAAGGCCUUCGGGUUGUAAAGCACUUUUGUCCGGAAAGAAAUCCUUGGCUCUAAUACAGUCGGGGGAUGACGGUACCGGAAGAAUAAGCACCGGCUAACUACGUGC
rnacentral:rRNA from 1 species